UACGGAGGGGGCUAGCGUUGUUCGGAAUUACUGGGCGUAAAGCGCGCGUAGGCGGCUUUGUAAGUUAGAGGUGAAAGCCCAGAGCUUAACUCUGGAAUUGCCUUUAAGACUGCAUCGCUUGAAUCAUGGAGAGGUGAGUGGAAUUCCGAGUGUAGAGGUGAAAUUCGUAGAUAUUCGGAAGAACACCAGUGGCGAAGGCGACUCACUGGACAUGUAUUGACGCUGAGGUGCGAAAGCGUGGGGAGCAAACAGGAUUAGAUACCCCUGUAGUCC
rnacentral:rRNA from 1 species